rnacentral:tRNA from 1 species
CCUCUUAAAGUAAUUUUUACAAUUUAAUUUCGACUUAAAUAUUGAUUUUAAUCUAAAUCUAAGAGAA